rnacentral:rRNA from 1 species
AGAGUUUGAUCAUGGCUCAGGACGAACGCUGGCGGCGUGCCUAACACAUGCAAGUCGAGCGAUGAAACCCUUCGGGGUGGAUUAGCGGCGGACGGGUGAGUAACACGUGGGUAACCUGCCUCAAAGAGGGGGAUAGCCUCCCGAAAGGGAGAUUAAUACCGCAUAACAUUAGUUCUUCGCAUGAAGAACUAAUUAAAGGAGUAAUCCGCUUUGAGAUGGACCCGCGGCGCAUUAGCUAGUUGGUGAGGUAACGGCUCACCAAGGCCACGAUGCGUAGCCGACCUGAGAGGGUGAUCGGCCACAUUGGAACUGAGAUACGGUCCAGACUCCUACGGGAGGCAGCAGUGGGGAAUAUUGCACAAUGGGCGAAAGCCUGAUGCAGCAACGCCGCGUGAGUGAUGAAGGCCUUCGGGUUGUAAAGCUCUGUCUUUGGGGACGAUAAUGACGGUACCCAAGGAGGAAGCCACGGCUAACUACGUGCCAGCAGCCGCGGUAAUACGUAGGUGGCAAGCGUUGUCCGGAUUUACUGGGCGUAAAGGAUGCGUAGGCGGAUAUUUAAGUGAGAUGUGAAAUUCCCGGGCUUAACUUGGGAGCUGCAUUUCAAACUGGAUAUCUAGAGUGUGGGAGAGGAGAAUGGAAUUCCUAGUGUAGCGGUGAAAUGCGUAGAGAUUAGGAAGAACACCAGUGGCGAAGGCGAUUCUCUGGACCAUAACUGACGCUGAGGCAUGAAAGCGUGGGUAGCAAACAGGAUUAGAUACCCUAGUAGUCC